CGGCGCGAGUUUGAGCGCGGCGCGCGGCGGCUGGCUCUCGGCUUCUCUCGACCCGCGCUCGCCCGCCUCUGCCGGCUCCCGCCAACCUGCAGAGGGCUGAGCCCGCCGGGACCAGGAUCCGCCCCUCGAAGGGAGGCUGCGCGUGGGAAAGGGAAGGCACACUCAGUUGUUUGUAAAUUGGGGGGUGGAGUGGGUACCUGAAGGAGAAGAACACAUUGGAGGUGAAUUGUAGGCCCCGGACCUCCGAUCCUUUUUCGCGGCCUGGGAUUGGGGCCCGGGAGUAGGGGAGGAGGAUAUCCGGGGAAGAGAACAGCAUGCGGGGCGUGCUGUCCUGGCACCUCGUGAUCUCAGAGUUCUCGAAAAGGGAUCGAACUCGGGACCUUGCGCUUGUGAGGCAGGCACUUGAACCACUAAGCUAAAUCCCCGACCCCAUGACUGUAUUUCUUUGGAGAAAGAUGAUUGGCUGCAGAGGAGAAUUGAGUACAAGAAUGGAGAGAGAUAAGAGAUGAGAGAAUAAUUAGCAGUCUCUUCCCAACAGGAUCUACAUUCUACGACAGUAGACUUCCGUCUGUUUUGCUCACUGUAUCCUGUGUAUAGCACAGUGCCUGGCUCAGAGUAGAUUCGACAAAUAUUUGUUGAAGGAAUGAAUGAAUAUAUGAGUGAAAAGCCACUCAGCUGAUAAAUGGUGGAGGUAAGAUUCAAGUGUCCUGUUU
ensembl:lncRNA